rnacentral:tRNA from 1 species
AAGGAUUUAAGUUAAAUAAACUGUUAGCCUUCAAAGCUAGAAAUAGGGGGUUAUUCCUAAGCCUUA